rnacentral:pre_miRNA from 1 species
UGUGCACCAGUGGGGUCCCUUGGCCUGGCCUGCGGGGAUCGGGCCGAAACCGGCAGUCCGACAUCCCCUUACACCAGGCCAGUUUUGGCCCGAUCCCUGCAGGCCAGGCCAAGGGACCCCACUGGUGCACA